rnacentral:misc_RNA from 1 species
GUCAUCGUCCGCAUGGGCCCCUAAGGGGAUUUGACAUGGGCGUGACCAUCAUUCGUAUUGAUGCAUGGCUCGAGUAGACAGAGGCUGAGAAAGCCUCAACCCACGUGUCACAUUCUAUAUCUGAGUGCAAGGGCAAAAAGCCUCGUGGGCCUGUGUAGCGUACACAAGGAGGCAUGACGUCCUCGAACAUGAGGCAUGCCUGGUGUCUACCCUACCCGCCUCGAGGGCAUGGGGCAGAGAGGGACAACGAGACCAUUGAAUUUCAUUUUUUUGGUAAAGCAACACAGGACAGUUAACGCACUCACAGGGCAAUAACAGCACCCAGGGAAACAUUGAAGUGGAUGGGGCACCGAUGGUUCAUUGCGUAAGCAAGGAGCCU